CUGGAGGCUCACAGAGGAGUCACACCCAGAGUGGGUUCCACACCCCUAUGCAGCAUUUCAUCGAUGGAACCCAGGGCCUUCUGCACACUAGGCAAACUACACCCCAACCCUCCUAGCAAAUUAACUGAACACCAGGAGAGUCCCGUGGGAAUCCGAGUUAAUAUCAGAUUAGAGAAGAACUUCCCAGCAUUUCCUGGAAGAGGCCCAGGCUUGCAACUGGCAUCUGAAAGAAGGAACAACUUUAGGGACUGAGCCUUCGACCUAUGACAUCUAGUGCUGUCUCCAGGUAGCUAGGGUUAGAACUGAAUUGGAAGCGAGGGCACCCAGCUGGGGUCUGCUGCUGAGUGACCCCACCUCUGGUCAUGGAAAUCUUCCUAUUGAUUUUAGACGUUGUAGGAAAAACAGAAAAUGUUUUUCUACAGCUAUCUUCCAUGGGAAAAGGCACUUUGCAGGGGACAUGUGUCAAAUGCAGUGCUACCCAGGCCAGAGCCCCAGUCGGACAGUGGCACCCUGGGGACUGGUCCUCCCUUCACUGCCUGCUGCCUAGGGGGCCUCAUCUGAAGAGGGGUCUGGCAGAAGGUAAGGCCCUCUGUGCCUGCUCCUGCCUGUCUUCUCAAGGCAGCCUGCAGGCUUGGCCAGGGUGGCGUCUGAGGAAUGGGGAAGUCUGGGGAGGCAACUGAGGCUGUGUUAAUGUGUUGAAUGAUGCAGUUUGGAACAGCCUCCACCGCAGUCCCUGCCCCUGCUGAUAUCUUCUUUAAGGGCGAGUCCCUCUGGGCACAGUGGCUCACGCCUGUAAUCCCAGCAACUCAGGAGGCUGAGGCAGGAGGACUGCAAGAUUGAGGCCAGCC